UUUUUCUCCGAAUGAAUUGAUUGAAGUUGAUACAGUGUACCAAUUUCUAGUUUUUCAAAUAGAUGUUAAGGUAGUCAUAUACUGUUUGUUGUUUGGGUUAAUAAAAAUCGCUCCGCUUUCAUGUUUGCUGCAAUGUGGCCAUUUCCAUCUAAUUAUUACGCUGUUAUUGGUUUUCAUAUUGCUGGAUGUUACCUUUUACUUGGUCGUAGGACGUGAAAAUUAUGAAAGCUAUGAAUGAAAAUGAAUUUGUCCAAUCUGUCGAAGAAGACGUGUCAGACAAUAUCAAUGUUGUGGACAACGAAACAUUAGGAGGUGAUGGAAAGAUUGUGCCUGAGGUGGGUAUGACUUUUAUGAAUGAAAAUGAGUUGUUUGAUUUUUACAAACGAUAUGCUUAUGUAGUAGGUUUUCCAGUGAGGAAACGAAAUUUGAAAAAGGGGGAUGACGGAGUCGUUAGAUAUGUGACGUUUACAUGUAGCUGUGAAGGUCGAAGAAACAGUAAUACAAACAUUGCUUUGAAACCGCAACCAACAAGUCAGAUAGAUUGUAACGCGAGGAUAUCUGCAUCGACUGAUUGUCAUGGAAUAUGGAGAAUUAACACCGUCCACCUCCAGCACAACCAUAAGACAAGUCCUUCCAAGUCUAGUUCGUAUCGGUGUAACUGAGAAUUGAGUGCAAAUGUAAAACAGAAGCUUGAAUUGAAUGACAUAGCGGGAAUUCCACUACACAAAAGUUUCAACUCUGUGGUUGUGGAAGCAGGUGGGUAUGAGAACAUGACUUGCGUUGAAAAAGAUUGUCGAAACUAUAUUGAACAAGUGAGACGGUUAUGACUUGGAGAUGGAGAUGCAAUAGCAUUACAAGCCUACUUUUCAUAGAUGCAAGCAAGUUGCUCAGGAUUUUACUUCACUAUGGAUUUAGACAAUGAGUCUCGGUUGAAGAAUGUAUUUUGGACAGAUAACAAAUGUAGGCAAGCAUACAAGGAGUUUGGUGAUGUUGUCACUUUUGAUACCACAUAUCUGACGAAUAAAUAUGACGUGCCGUUCGCACCUUUUAUUGGUGUGAAUCAUCACGGAUAAUCAACAUUGCUUUGUUGUGGGCUGUUGUGAAAUGAGAAUACAAGUACAUUUGUGUGGUUAUUUAGGACAUGGCUUCAAUGCAUGCAGGUUCGACCUUCCCACGGAAUUAUUACCGAUUAAGACAGAGCCAUGCAAAAUGCAAUUGAUUUUUUUUUUCCAAAUUCUAAACAUAGAUGAUGUUUGUGUCACAUUAUGAAGAAACUGCCAGAGAAGUUUGGGUACCAUGUUAGCAAAAGUUCAGUAUUUCCCACUAUACAUGGAUUGGUAUACGAUUCGCAGGCUGUUGAUGAAUUAAAAAACGGUUGGAAAGCAAUGAUUGAUGAGUUUGACCUGCUUGACAAUGAGUGGUUAUCGGGACUUUACGAAAAUCGAGGUCGUUGGGUACCUUGCUUUCUGAAAAUGACAUUCUGGGCAGGGAUGUCCACAACACAACGAAGUGAGAGUAUGAAUAUAUUCUUCGAUAGAUAUGUCCAUUCGAAGACCUCGUUGAAGCAGUUUGUUGAACAGUACGACAGAGCCCUAAGGAGUAAGGUUGAGAAAGAGUUCCAGGCUAAUUUCAAAUCGUUCUCACAAAUGGUACCGUGCGCGACAAGUUUUGAGAUGGAGUAACAAUUUUAGGUAGUGUACACUAUUUCAAAGUUCAAGGAUGUUCAAGAUGAGUUUAUAGGAAAGAUGUAUUGCGAUGUUACUUCAGAAGCAAAGUGACCAAAUGGGAUGAAGUACGAGGUUCGAGAGUUUGUAGUAUACCACGAGGGUAGGAAGAAGAAAACAUUUUUCGUCUCAUUUCUGAAAGACACAUGUGAAGUGACGUGCAGUUGCCACUUGUUCGAAUUUCGAAGAAUUAUUCGCAGGCAUGCGAUCACAAUAUUCGACCGUAAUGACUUAACAUCAAUACCAGAGAAGUAUAUAUUACGGUGAUGGAGGAGAGAUGUCAGUAGAGCACACACGAGUGUACCAGUGAACUAUGCAGGGUUGGUCAGUACGCUUGAACAAUUAAGAUAUGUUUAUAUGUGCCUAGCUUUUUCAAAGGUGGUGGACCUCGCUUCAAAUAAUGAAGGGCGAGCACGGGCGAUAAUGGAUUGGAUAAAAUCCCAAGCCACGGAACUGAGGACUACAAGGUCGAGUUGUGGUAGUAAUUCCCUGAUCCAGCAAUCUGUUCAUUUGGCAACACAAUGUACUACUUCGCAAAAUAUCGCUUGUGUGAGCAUACUAGAUCCUAAGUUGUCGAACAGGAAGGGGCCUCCAAGAAAACUACGGAAAAAAGGUCCCUUGGAGUCGACUAUGAAGAAAGCAAAGGCGAGUUCGAAGUCAGGCAAAGGAAGGAGACCAAGAGAAAAGCAUAGUGGUAUGGAAUUUAUAGCACUCGACGUCCAACCAUCGCAACAACUUCAACAUUCGCAACCGACACCAUUCUCGUAUUCACAGCUUCUGUUGGUUAGUAAACAUAUUUUUUUUUCAUACUCUCUGUUUCAUAGUUAUAAUUAUGUUUAUGUUGGUACUUGACGUAAGGCGACAUCGAAAGUUAACUGUGUACACAACAAUUACCUGCAUCUAAUUUCAUCACAUCGUCGUCUACUAAUGCUAUAUUCAAUUCACAAGGGACGUACUUUGUUAACUCGCAGAUACUAUAUUCGGAAGCCACAGUUAAUGGAAUGAGCCAAAUGGCGUACAAUUUUCUUCAGGUACUCGGUGCAGACUAUUUUUCGAGUGCAAUGUACAUUGCAAAUUCGUCCAACAAUGUCCCAAAUUUGCUCCAACUUCACAACAAUGCGGGAAUCCCAUAUCAAUAGUGAUGUUGGAGGAUGCCGAGUUGGGAUGUAUUUCAUUUGUAUAGCUUUAAGUAAACAUGCAUGAAUGUUCCCGGGUUAUAGUCCGUAGUAAAUUAAUGGGAGUGUUUCCCAUUGGUAGAAGUACCUUGCUAUAUUGAUUUGAUAUUAGAAAGGAUUUUCUACAAUGUUUUGAGAUUAAUCUAAAGUAGGGGCAUUGGUGCAUUAUGAAGUAAUUUUCAAUUGUUGGAUU